AAGUUUAAAGAUGAAGUUCCAAAUAUAUUUACCUGCUACACUGCUGGCAAAACCGUUGUUCUUGACCCCUAAUUGUAACUUUUGGGGUCUUCGAGUGAACUUCGCAUACUUUAUGGCGUCGAUGGUAGUCCCUGCAUUUGCUGAGGUCUGCAGU